CUGCGGAGGGACAUUACACAAAUAUGAAGGCGGGCUGGAACCUCUCGGGGUUACAGCCUUGCUGAAUUAUUCACCCUUGUCUUUUGCGUACUUCUUGUUUCCUUGGUGGGUUCGCCCACCACUAGGACAAACAUAAACCUUUUGUAAUUGCAAUCAGCGUCAGUAACAAAUUAAUAAUUACAACUUUCAACAACGGAUCUCUUGGUUCUGGCAUCGAUGAAGAACGCAGCGAAAUGCGAUAAGUAGUGUGAAUUGCAGAAUUCAGUGAAUCAUCGAAUCUUUGAACGCACAUUGCGCCCUUUGGUAUUCCAAAGGGCAUGCCUGUUCGAGCGUCAUUUGUACCCUCAAGCUUUGCUUGGUGUUGGGCGUCUUGUCUCUAGCUUUGCUGGAGACUCGCCUUAAAGUAAUUGGCAGCCGGCCUACUGGUUUCGGAGCGCAGCACAAGUCGCACUCUCUAUCAGCAAAGGUCUAGCAUCCAUUAAGCCUUUUUUUCCACUUUUGACCUCGGAUCAGGUAAGGAUACCCGCUGAACUUAA
rnacentral:rRNA from 1 species